UGGACAGUCUCUUGCUUGGCUCACUUCCCAACAACACUCUGUCUGGAGUUCUGAAACAGAAAGUUACUCCUGUGCUGUUAAAGGCCAUGAGGAUCUCCGCUCUCCUGCAGUGUGUGUUCAGGGUCACAACUGCUGGAGGGUGACUUACACCAAGAGGAGAAUCUGUGUCUUGAAGGGCUCCACAGUGGACAUAUCCUGCUCUUACACUCAUCCCACUAGUUAUAUAGAACAAGGUUCAUUCUGGUUUACACAGAAACAUCCUGUAGAUGUCAGUUCAUAUCCAGAGUAUGCAGGUCGUGUGCAGUACAAUAGGAACACAGAGAACCACCACACCAUGACAAUAACACACCUGACAGAGAAGGACUCGGCUGAAUACAAAUUCAGAUUAAUAACAACAGAUGAGGGGAGAUUUUCUGACCUUCCUGGUGUGAUGUUGACUGUCACAGAUAUCCUGUUGGAGAUGGAUCCUACGUCUGUGUCAGAGGGGGAGAGAGUCACACUGAGAUGUAGAACCCAAUGUACAGUCAGUCUCAAACCCACCUACAUCU